rnacentral:rRNA from 1 species
GAUGAACGCUGGCGGCGUGCCUAACACAUGCAAGUCGAACGGAGAUUCCGGACGGAAGUUUUCGGAUGGAAGACUGUAAUUCUUAGUGGCGGACGGGUGAGUAACGCGUGGGCAACCUGCCCUAUACAGGGGGAUAGCAGCUGGAAACGGCUGGUAAGACCGCAUAAGUCGGCGAGACCGCAUGGUUUUGCCGGGAAAUGAGCAAUCAGGUAUAGGAUGGGCCCGCGUCCGAUUAGCCAGUUGGCAGGGUAAAAGCCUACCAAAGCAACGAUCGGUAGCCGGACUGAGAGGUCGGACGGCCACAUUGGGACUGAGACACGGCCCAAACUCCUACGGGAGGCAGCAGUGGGGGAUAUUGCACAAUGGAGGAAACUCUGAUGCAGCGACGCCGCGUGAGUGAAGAAGUAUUUCGGUAUGUAAAGCUCUAUCAGCAGGGAAGAUGAUGACGGUACCUGACUAAGAAGCCCCGGCUAACUACGUG